rnacentral:misc_RNA from 1 species
AAGUCGUAACAAGGUUUCCGUAGGUGAACCUGCGGAAGGAUCAUUAGUGAACGCCUCCGGGCUAUCCAACCAACCUCUGUGAACUGUGGCCCUCGGGCCUUACAAACUUAGUGUCCCGAACGUCGCGAUUAGAAUAAAACAGAACUUUCAACAACGGAUCUCUUGGCUCUC